UCGAUUUCUUCGGAUUGAAAUUUUAGUGACUGAGUGGCGGACGGGUGAGUAACGCGUGGGUAACCUGCCUCACACAGGGGGAUAACAGUUGGAAACGACUGCUAAUACCGCAUAAGCGCACAGCUUCGCAUGAAGCAGUGUGAAAAACUCCGGUGGUGUGAGAUGGACCCGCGUCUGAUUAGCCAGUUGGCGGGGUAACGGCCCACCAAAGCGACGAUCAGUAGCCGGCCUGAGAGGGUGAACGGCCACAUUGGGACUGAGACACGGCCCAAACUCC
rnacentral:rRNA from 1 species